GUACAAUGUAACGCGCAUGUGCAGUGCUAUAAGCAAUCUCAGCUGUUUCUAACCAUGCAAAGGAUGCGGGGCGAGAGGGCAUGAGACCAUGAGAGUCUGGGGAGAGAGAGCCUGAUUGACACCAUCUUGGCUACCUGCUAUUUCCUCACAACUUGUUAUCGGCAAUGUAGCAAGAAACUCCCAAACUGAAGUGACGGCAAUGACGGAGGUCCUGCUAAGGAACACGGAACUAAUAAGCCACCACCAACCGGAAGAGUUCGGGAAAGGUCAAAAGGAGACACUACAUGUCCGACCACCUCCCAGAAUCCUUCUGUCUGGCAUCCAUCUUGGCUGAACAAGGCAUGCACCACCAGGAAGGACUAUGAGUCAGAAUGAUUGGCUAAGGGCAACCUGGAAACUAAUCACUUUACAUAAAACCUGGGACUGCAAGCCAUGUGGCAGAGCAGUUCUCCCAGGUUCCCUUACCCUACUGCUCUCCACCCAGGUGGCAUUUCCCAAUAAAAUCUCUUGCUUUGUC
ensembl:lncRNA